AUUUAACAGGGGCAGGACCCCAAACAUCCGAAUGUAUUAUUUGAAAUGGAGAAGAACUUUUAUGUUCCACAGAAACCAAAGGAAUACGAGAAAGUUUCCCUAACAAACAACUAGAACAAGGCUUUAAAUUACUUGAAGAACUAGAAAGUAAAUUUGAUUUAACUAAAGCAGAUAACUUGUCACGAUUCGGAUGACCUAAACGGACAUGCCAAUCAUCCAUGGUGGGUACUGUAGCAGUCAUGGCUUGUUUUGAAAAUCUUAAUGCAUACACUCCAUCUUCACUGGGUCCUUGCAUCAGUACCUUCCUCGUGCGUUGGUCCUUCACAGCAAAAAAAGUAGGCCAAAACUCAAAAAAACAGGAAUUAUCAUUGGUAAAUUUUUGAACAGAUAGUAAAGGUUUAAUAAUUUGAGGAACAUGAAGGACAUUAAACAAACGAAAGGAACCAGAUGCAGAAGGAAGAGUUGCGUUACCAGUAUGAGCAAUCUGUAAACCAUUACCAUUACCUACUUGCAGAUUAUCAUUGCCAUUAUAAUCACUAUAUGUGCUCAGUGAUUGCAAAUCUGGAGUAAUAUGAUAAUUAGCAGCAGUGUCUGGAUACCAUGUUUGCGGUUGCUGCGGUAGAAGAGAUGGAGCCGCAACAUAAUUUGCCUGAGGAUUAAAAGGUCGAGCCUGAUAAGGACGAGGCUGACUUUGAACAAACUGCCCCGAUUGUCCAGAAUAAUUCCGUUGAAAACGCCGACGACAAACAUUGGCAGUAUGGUUUCUGCCAUUACAGAUUUGAUAAGGUCCCCUUGGCCUAUUACCUCCAGAUUGAUUAUUACGAUUACCACCAUUAUUACGAUUCCGAUUUGUUGCAUCUGAUGUAUUAGAGAAAGGAGAAGCAGAGGAGUUUCGAACAACCAUAUUUGCUUGUGGAUAUGAGAGACUUUGAAGAAGAACUUCAUGUGCAACCAACUGACCAUGUAAUUCAUAAAAGGAGACAGGUUCUGGCCUGAUAUUUAAAGAUGUAAUAAUGGAAUGGUAAUCAGCUCCAAUGUUGCGAUAAAUGAUAGCAUUAAAUUCGGCAGGGGAGAGAGGUUUCCCGGCAGCAGAAAGCUCAUCAGCCAAGGCUUUGGCUUUGUUGAGAAAUUGAGAAACAGUUAAAUCAUCUUUCUUGAGAGAUUGAAGUUCAAUAUGUAAUUGCAGUUGUCGAUUUUGGGAUAAAGCACCAAAGGAUUGUUCUAAUGCUUUCCAAACCUCUCGAGAAGAGUUAAGACCAAUCACAUACGGGAAAAUUUCUUCCGUAAGCGACGCAAAAAUCCAAGAUAGUAACAUUUGGUCUUUGCGAAACCAGAUAUCAUAGUCUGGAUUGGGUUCCAUAAUUAAAGGAUCAGCAGCAGAAGGCUUUGUAGAUGGUGGUGCUGGCACAGUACCAUCAAUGAUUCCUUGAAGAUUUUGAUAGUUUAGAAUUGGGCGAAAUUGUGUCUUCCAAGCUAAAUAAUUCUUGGGGGUUAAUUUGACUGAAAAAGAAUGAUUUGUAGUAGAUACGAGAGAGGUAGGUAAUGAUGGGAUAGAAGGAGUCAAGGAAGGUGUAGUAGAUAUGACAGAUGUAGGUAAUGAUGGGAUAGGAGGAGUCAAGGAAGGUGUAUUGGCCAUGGCUCUGAUACCAUGUAAA
rnacentral:misc_RNA from 1 species